GGAGGAGGAGGAAUGGAAUGCCAGAAAGUCAUCUUUGACAAGCUGUCAACCCCACCAAAUGUUCUAGGAUUUUAAAAAGAGCCUCGCGGAGCAGGUGAAAGUCAAGGGACCAGAAGUCAUGAGCUUAAACAGCACAACGGUCUGGAUGAGGCUCUAGCAGAGGGGAUGUAACCUCAGGUUCUCAAGAUACAAGUUCCUGGAUGGAAAUUAAUGAAAAAUGGCUGCUUUCCAACGUGCCUGAUGACUAUUCCAAUAUGUGUAAUAAGGCAUUGGCAUAUGUCGGCCAGGGGAGGGCACCAAGAUCAUAAAACCACGGUACCAAGAUAGGCCUUGU
rnacentral:lncRNA from 1 species